ACCCCCUACGGGGCGCAGCAGUGGGGAAUAUUGGGCAAUGGGCGCAAGCCUGACCCAGCAACGCCGCGUGAAGGAAGAAGGCUUUCGGGUUGUAAACUUCUUUUCUUGGGGACGAAGAAAGUGACGGUACCCAAGGAAUAAGCCACGGCUAACUACGUGCCAGCAGCCGCGGUAAUACGUAGGUGGCAAGCGUUAUCCGGAUUUAUUGGGUGUAAAGGGCGUGUAGGCGGGCUUGCAAGUCAGAUAUGAAAACCACGGGCUCA
rnacentral:rRNA from 1 species